CUACGGGUCGCACCAGUGAGGAAUAUUGCACAAUGGGGGGAACCCUGAUGCAGCAACGCCGCGUGGAGGAUGACGCAUUUCGGUGUGUAAACUCCUUUUAUAUGUCAAGAAAAUGACGGUAGCAUAUGAAUAAGCACCGGCUAACUCCGUGCCAGCAGCCGCGGUAAUACGGAGGGUGCAAGCGUUACUCGGAAUCACUGGGCGUAAAGGACGCGUAGGCGGGUUGGAAAGUCAGGUGUGAAAUCCUACAGCUUAACUGUAGAACUGCACUUGAAACUUCUAAUCUAGAGGAUGGGAGGGGAGAUGGAAUUAGUGGUGUAGGGGUAAAAUCCGUAGAUAUCACUAGGAAUACCUAAAGCGAAGGCGAUCUCCUGGAACAUUACUGACGCUAAGGCGUGAAAGCGUGGGGAGCAAACAGGAUUAGAUACCCCCGUAGUC
rnacentral:rRNA from 1 species